AACGAACGCUGGCGGCAUGCCUAACACAUGCAAGUCGAACGAGACCUUCGGGUCUAGUGGCGCACGUGUGCGUAACGCGUGGGAACCUGCCCUUAGGUUCGGAAUAACUCCCCGAAAGGGGUGCUAAUACCGGAUAAUGUCUUCGGACCAACGAUUUAUCGCCUUUGGAUGGGCCCGCGUUGGAUUAGCUAGUUGGUAGGGUAAAAGCCUACCAAGGCGACGAUCCAUAGCUGGUCUGAGAGGAUGAUCAGCCACACUGGGACUGAGACACGGCCCAGACUCCUACGGGAGGCAGCAGUGGGGAAUAUUGGACAAUGGGCGAAAGCCUGAUCCAGCAAUGCCGCGUGAGUGAUGAAGGCCUUAGGGUUGUAAAGCUCUUUUACCCGGGAUGAUAAUGACAGUACCGGGAGAAUAAGCUCCGGCUAACUCCGUG
rnacentral:rRNA from 1 species